AGCGAACGCUGGCGGCAGGCCUAACACAUGCAAGUCGAACGGACCCUUCGGGGUUAGUGGCGGACGGGUGAGUAACACGUGGGAACGUGCCUUUAGGUUCGGAAUAGCUCCUGGAAACGGGUGGUAAUGCCGAAUGUGCCCUUCGGGGGAAAGAUUUCUCGCCUUUAGAGCGGCCCGCGUCUGAUUAGCUAGUUGGUGAGGUAACGGCUCACCAAGGCGACGAGCAGUAGCUGGUCUGAGAGGAUGACCAGACACACUGGGACUGAGACACGGCCCCGACUCCUACGGGAGGGAGCAGUGGGGAAUCUUGCGCAAUGGGCGAAAGCCUGACGCAGCCAUGCCGCGUGAAUGAUGAAGGUCUUAGGAUUGUAAAAUUCUUUCAACGGGGACGAUAAUGACGGUACCCGGAGAAGAAGCCCCGGCUAACUUCGUG
rnacentral:rRNA from 1 species